rnacentral:sRNA from 1 species
ACGCAAUGUGAGGUCCCUCUCCUCCUCCCUGGGACCAAACAUUCGCGGCGAUGCCUCUCCUCCUCCCUGGCAUCGCCGCACCCUUAUCGUUUCGAGGCCCCUCUCCUCCUCCCUGGGGCUCUCGUU